AGGGUGAAGCUUAGUGAUAGAGCACAUGCUUGUCAUCCACGAGGUACUGGGUUCAAUUCCCAGUACCUCUG
rnacentral:tRNA from 1 species